rnacentral:rRNA from 1 species
AUUGAACGCUGGCGGCAGGCCUAACACAUGCAAGUCGAACGAGUGGCGGACGGGUGAGUAAUGUCUGGGAAACUGCCUGAUGGAGGGGGAUAACUACUGGAAACGGUAGCUAAUACCGCAUACCAUCGGAUGUGCCCAGAUGGGAUUAGCUUGUAGGUGGGGUAAAGGCUAACCUAGGCGACGAUCCCUAGCUGGUCUGAGAGGAUGACCAGCAACCCUGGAACUUAGACACGGUCCAUACUCCAACGGGAGGCAGCAGUGGUGAAUAUUGCACAAUGGGCGCAAGCCUGAUGCAGCCAUGCCGCGUGUAUGAAGAAGGCCUUCGGGUUGUAAAGUACUUUCAGCGGGGAUGCGUUACCCGCAGAAGAAGCACCGGCUAACUCCGUGCCAGCAGCCGCGGUAAUAC